UACAGAGGGGGCAAGCGUUAUUCGGAAUUAUUGGGCGUAAAGGGCGCGUAGGCGGCUUGGCAAGUGGAUGGUGAAAUCCCUCGGCUUAACCGAGGAACUGCCAUCCAGACUGCUUGCUUGAGGCCGGGAGAGGUGAGUGGAAUUCCCAGUGUAGCGGUGAAAUGCGUAGAUAUUGGGAGGAACACCAGUGGCGAAGGCGGCUCACUGGACCGGUUCUGACGCUGAUGCACGAAAGCGUGGGGAGCAAACAGG
rnacentral:rRNA from 1 species